rnacentral:rRNA from 1 species
CCUACGGGAGGCAGCAGUGAGGAAUAUUGGUCAAUGGACGAGAGUCUGAACCAGCCAAGUAGCGUGAAGGAUGACUGCCCUAUGGGUUGUAAACUUCUUUUAUAUGGGAAUAAAACGUUCCACGUGUGGGAUUUUGUAUGUACCAUAUGAAUAAGGAUCGGCUAACUCCGUGCCAGCAGCCGCGGUAAUACGGAGGAUCCGAGCGUUAUCCGGAUUUAUUGGGUUUAAAGGGAGCGUAGGUGGAUUGUUAAGUCAGUUGUGAAAGUUUGCGGCUCAACCGUAAAAUUGCAGUUGAAACUGGCAGUCUUGAGUACAGUAGAGGUGGGCGGAAUUCGUGGUGUAGCGGUGAAAUGCUUAGAUAUCACGAAGAACUCCGAUUGCGAAGGCAGUUCACUGGACUGCAUCUGACACUGAGGCUCGAAAGUGUGGGUAUCAAACAGGAUUAGAUACCCGUGUAGUC